rnacentral:lncRNA from 1 species
GCCACCUCGGCUGCUCCAGUCAAUAUGGCUUCCAAGCCUCUCCACACCCCAGAGUCAAUCUGGACUUGCUGAGUUUACAUCAAGACCUGCCACGUGGCCGGGCCAGAGCAGGAAUAAAACAUCUUGUCUGUGAAGCAUUGACAAUGCCAGACUGGCUUCUUCCACUUCUGAGACACCCUCAUGGAAGGAAAUGGGGCUGCCUAAAACAGUCCAUGCCUCACUCCAAGAUACUGGAUGCUCUUUGUCAGUUUUAAUUUCAAGGGCCCCUGAAAAGCCUCUGAUUGGCUCAGUGUGGCUCAGGUGCCCGAGCCAGUCGCCUGUGGUCAGAAGUCACAUUGGACUUGCAGAGUGACGCCCUUGAUGACCAUGUAAAAGGAAAGACGUGAGCAUCUGGAGACAUAGCAAUUGGGAGCUUGCAAAGGAGCAUGAAAAAACUUCGGAGAAGGACACAUCCAGCAGAGUUCGACUGCUCCAUCAGAGAGGUCUUUUCUUUCAUCCCUUGUCUCUGACCAGAGAAGCUCGUUAGAGAAAGGACCAUACCUGUGACGCAGUGACAGAGUGUGGGGCAGGGUGCGGGGCUGGACGUGGACUGCUGGGAAGCUUUAUUUGGAUGACUACGGGCAAAGUCGCACAGGCCUGUAAUGUCAGGAGGAACAGUGUCUGCAGACCGACCUCCCAGGGGGUGGUUUGCAGGGGGGGGACUGCUGUGAUAUUAAUCUGUUUUCUUUGCCACAACUAGCAUUCCUACCUAUACUGCCUGAGCUCCUUAAAGGGGCCCCUAAUUUAGCAUCGUGGAGCACACGAGUCAUCUGGGACCACCCUUGUGCACACUGAGGUCUGGCAAAGGGAUGGACUCCUCAAGGAUGCCCCAAACAACACACACACACACACACACACACACACACACACACACACACACACACGCCUGGGCGCAUGCGCGCGCACACACACACACACACACACACACACACACACACUUUAGUUAGGUGCAUCAUCAUGGCAAUUCUCCAUGCUGGUUAGUGAUCAUUUCCUGAUGAACCAGAGUCCUUCCCAAGCAAA